UACGUAGGGGGCAAGCGUUGUCCGGAUUUAUUGGGCGUAAAGGGCGCGUAGGCGGUUUCUUAAGUUUGAAGUGACAGUGGGUGGCUUAACUACCCAAGGCCUUUGAAAACUGGGGAACUUGAGGACCAGAGAGGGACAUAGAAUUCCGGGUGGAGUGGUGAGAUGCGUAGAUAUCCGGAGGAAUACCAAAGGCGAAGGCAGUGUCCUGGAGGGUUAACUGACGCUGAGGCGCGAAAGCUAGGGGAGCGAACAGG
rnacentral:rRNA from 1 species